rnacentral:rRNA from 1 species
UGCAAGUAGAACGCUGAAANAGAGGAGCUUGCUCUUCUUGGAUGAGUUGCGAACGGGUGAGUAACGCGUAGGUAACCUGCCUUGUAGCGGGGGAUAACUAUUGGAAACGAUAGCUAAUACCGCAUAACAAUAGGUGACACAUGUCAUUUAUUUGAAAGGGGCAAUUGCUCCACUACAAGAUGGACCUGCGUUGUAUUAGCUAGUAGGUGAGGUAACGGCUCACCUAGGCGACGAUACAUAGCCGACCUGAGAGGGUGACCGGCCACACUGGGACUGAGACACGGCCCAGACUCCUACGGGAGGCAGCAGUAGGGAAUCUUCGGCAAUGGGGGCAACCCUGACCGAGCAACGCCGCGUGAGUGAAGAAGGUUUUCGGAUCGUAAAGCUCUGUUGUAAGUCAAGAACGAGUGUGAGAGUGGAAAGUUCACACUGUGACGGUAGCUUACCAGAAAGGGACGGCUAACUACGUGCCAGCAGCCGCGGUAAUACGUAGGUCCCGAGCGUUGUCCGGAUUUAUUGGGCGUAAAGCGAGCGCAGGCGGUUAGAUAAGUCUGAAGUUAAAGGCUGUGGCUUAACCAUAGUACGCUUUGGAAACUGUUUAACUUGAGUGCAAGAGGGGAGAGUGGAAUUCCAUGUGUAGCGGUGAAAUGCGUAGAUAUAUGGAGGAACACCGGUGGCGAAAGCGGCUCUCUGGCUUGUAACUGACGCUGAGCUCGAAAGCGUGGGGAGCAAACAGGAUUAGAUACCCUGGUAGUCCACGCCGUAAACGAUGAGUGCUAGUGUUAGACCCUUUCCGGGGUUUAGUGCCGCAGCUAACGCAUUAAGCACUCCGCCUGGGGAGUACGACCGCAAGGUUGAAACUCAAAGGAAUUGACGGGGGCCC